rnacentral:rRNA from 1 species
AUUGAACGCUGGCGGCAGGCCUAACACAUGCAAGUCGAACGGUAACAGAAAGCAGCUUGCUGCUUUGCUGACGAGUGGCGGACGGGUGAGUAAUGUCUGGGAAACUGCCUGAUGGAGGGGGAUAACUACUGGAAACGGUAGCUAAUACCGCAUAACGUCGCAAGACCAAAGAGGGGGACCUUCGGGCCUCUUGCCAUCGGAUGUGCCCAGAUGGGAUUAGCUAGUAGGUGGGGUAACGGCUCACCUAGGCGACGAUUCCUAGCUGGUCUGAGAGGAUGACCAGCCACACGGGAACUGAGACACGGUCCAGACUCCUACGGGAGGCAGCAGUGGGGAAUAUUGCACAAUGGGCGCAAGCCUGAUGCAGCCAUGCCGCGUGUAUGAAGAAGGCCUUCGGGUUGUAAAGUACUUUCAGCGGGGAGGAAGGGAGUAAAGUUAAUACCUUUACUCAUUGACGUUACCCGCAGAAGAAGCACCGGCUAACUCCGUGCCAGCCGCCGCCGUAA